UCGCUGUGUGUUACAAGUGUCACACGGUACUGCCGGUCUUAAGCCGGAGGAAGUGGGGAUGACGUCAAGUCAGCAUGGCCUUUAUGUCCUGGGCUACACACACGCUACAAUGGCCAACACAAUAGGUUGCUAAGCCGCGAGGUGGAGCCAAUCCUCAAAGUUGGUCUCAGUUCAGAUUGCAGGCUGCAACCCGCCUGCAUGAAGAUGGAGUUGCUAGUAACCGCAGGUCAGCUAUACUGCGGUGAAUACGUUCCCGGGGCUU
rnacentral:rRNA from 1 species